rnacentral:rRNA from 1 species
UACGUAGGGUGCAAGCGUUAAUCGGAAUUACUGGGCGUAAAGCGUGCGCAGGCGGUUUUGUAAGACAGAUGUGAAAUCCCCGGGCUUAACCUGGGAAUUGCAUUUGUGACUGCCCGGCUAGAGUGUGUCAGAGGGGGGUAGAAUUCCACGUGUAGCAGUGAAAUGCGUAGAUAUGUGGAGGAAUACCGAUGGCGAAGGCAGCCCCCUGGGAUAACACUGACGCUCAUGCACGAAAGCGUGGGGAGCAAACAGG